UACAGAGGGGGCAAGCGUUGUUCGGAAUUACUGGGCGUAAAGGGCGCGCAGGCGGCUGCUCAAGUCAGGCGUGAAAGGCCUGGGCUCAACCCGGGAAUUGCGCUUGAGACUGGGCUGGCUUGAGUGCGGGAGAGGAUGGUGGAAUUCCGAGUGUAGAGGUGAAAUUCGUAGAUAUUCGGAAGAACACCAGUGGCGAAGGCGACUCACUGGACAUGUAUUGACGCUGAGGUGCGAAAGCGUGGGGAGCAAACAGG
rnacentral:rRNA from 1 species